AGCUUGCACUUGAGUCGCAAAAGUAAUAAAUUAAUUGUAAGCCGGAUAAAUAAAUUAAUUCUAACAAAUAAGUUCGGGGUUCUGAGAUUCUCUCUUCCGAACAGGCACGGCUUACCAUUCUUUAUUUGCGAAAUAAAAUUUACGUUUAAGUCUUAUCCAUUACCAUGUCUAUUACAAUAAACAUAAUUUUAUUACAUACGUGUGUAGUAAUGUACUUGAAACAAAGCGAUAAGAUAUAUCAAACACUGUUUGCAAACCCAAAGUAAUGUGCUCGGAAUACUGUUAUCGCUGCAUAUAGGGAAUAUAUAAAGUUGUCAUUUAAAUCCAUAAUAUCAUACAAAACUGUAAGACAGAAAUAUGAAGGCGUGUUUUGUUUUCGCUGUUCUCUUGGUGGUGGCUUUUGCCACUUUCGCGCAAAGCGAGGAAGUUUCAAAUGAGCAAGAGCAUAAUUUGCAAAAAAGUCAAUUGGUGAACGAACGACUUCCCUCUUGCCAGCUUUGGGAGUGCUCAUCAAACUGUAGAAGGAGAGGCUUUAGAGGAGGAUACUGCGCUUUCAACGGAUGCCGAUGCUAUUGAUGGUUUAAGCAAACUCAACGGAUUAUAAACAAUAUUAUCAUACAACACUAACCAUUUAGGGUUUAUUUUUGUAUAAAUUUAUCAUGUUCAUUUAUUUGAAAUAUUCGCUUUGUAAUCAAUUUCAUUUCGCGCAUUCACUUCGAAUAAUGAUAUGAAAUAAUCAAAUUGUGCUGUUGAAAAUUAGUUUUAAAAUCUUUCAAUAAAUAAGUAUGCAUUGAAUGAAAAUUAUAGAUUAAAUUA